GACACGUUCAGACAGCGCCCCUCCCACGAGGAAGGAGAAAAUGCUUAGAAAAGUUUCUGGAUUAAGGGAGAAUUAACACAAAGCAGCGACGCCACUUCAGCUACACUUGCAAACGACACAGACGGAGGGGGGGACCUUGACAGAGAUCCCAACGUGACGGGGUGAAGGCACUCGAGGGAACCUCAGGCACCUCACACAAACUUCCAACUCUGAUAAGCGAGAGGUGGACGGGUCCAUCCAGAUUAAGUGAGAACACAGCUGAGAGGCAGAGGAUCUUUGCUGCCAGGGUCCUGAAGGAUGGAGGAGAAGCAGUUUGCUGGGAUCCUGAAUGGAGCAGUUCCAGGAGAGCCGGUGAAGAAGGAUGAAAACACUCGGAGAGGCAACUGGGGCAACCAGAUCGAGUUUGUCCUCACGAGCGUGGGCUACGCAGUGGGCCUGGGCAACGU